rnacentral:rRNA from 1 species
CCCUUAGAUGUUCUGGGCCGCACGCGCGCUACACUGACGAAUGCAACGAGCUUAUAACCUUGGCCGAAAGGUCUGGGUAAUCUCCAAAUUUCGUCGUGAUGGGGAUAGAUUAUUGCAAUUAUUAAUCUUCAACGAGGAAUGCCUAGUAAGCGCAAGUCAUCAGCUCGCGUUGAUUACGUCCCUGCCCUUUGUACACACCGCCCGUCGCUCCUACCGAUUGAAUGGUCCGGUGAAGCGUUCGGACCGUGGCCUUUGGACGGUUCGCCGUCUGUUGGCUGCGGGAAGUUCGUUAAACCUUAUCAUUUAGAGGAAGGAGAAGUCGUAACA